ACCUGGCUAGCUCAGUGGGUAGAGCAUGAGACUCUUGAUCUCAGGGUCAUGAGUUUAAGCCCCAAGUUGGGUG
rnacentral:tRNA from 1 species